UACAGAGGGUGCGAGCGUUGUCCGGAAUCAUUGGGCGUAAAGCGCGCGUAGGCGGCCCGGUAAGUCCGUUGUAAAAGUCAAAGGCUCAACCUUUGAAAGCCGAUGGAUACUGCCGGGCUAGAGUACGGAAGAGGCGAGUAGAAUUCCUGGUGUAGCGGUGGAAUGCGCAGAUAUCAGGAGGAAUACCCAUAGCGAAGGCAGCUCGCUGGGACGUUACUGACGCUGAGGCGCGAAAGCGUGGGGAGCGAACAGG
rnacentral:rRNA from 1 species